UACACACACGUAUGUGUAGUUUCUCUCAAAACAUAUAGUUUGCAAAAGAAUAAUAAUAAGUCGCCUACGAAUAAUAGUAGAGUUAAUGUGCAAAUAUUGGUGUAAUAACAUCGUGAAGGCAAUGAGAAUUUUUAAUGCUUUGACUUGAUCACAUUCCACCUGUCAUAUCCUUCCAAAGUCAAUUAUUCUAGAAAAGUGACCUAUUUAGCCGGAAACUGUCUCUUGUGGAAGUAUUCAACUUCAAACAAUUUAAAUUAUCUGUGACAGCAUCUAAAAGGAAUAUUUCAUG